UACGAAGGGGGGCUAGCGUUGUUCGGAUUUUACUGGGCGUAAAAGCGCACGUAGGCGGAUCGAUCAGUCAGGGGUGAAAUCCCAGAGCUCAACUCUGGAACUGCCUUUGAUACUGUCGAUCUGGAGUAUGGAAGAGGUGAGUGGAAUUCCGAGUGUAGAGGUGAAAUUCGUAGAUAUUCGGAGGAACACCAGUGGCGAAGGCGGCUCACUGGUCCAUUACUGACGCUGAGGUGCGAAAGCGUGGGGGAGCAAACAGG
rnacentral:rRNA from 1 species